ACGGAGGGUGCGAGCGUUGUCCGGAAUCACUGGGCGUAAAGGGCGCGUAGGCGGUGGCGUAAGCGUGCGGUGAAAGCCUGGGGCUCAACCCCGGGUCGGCCGUGCGAACUGUGUCACUCGAGCACUGUAGAGGCAGGCGGAAUUCCGGGUGUAGCGGUGGAAUGCGUAGAGAUCCGGAAGAACACCGGUGGCGAAGGCGGCCUGCUGGG
rnacentral:rRNA from 1 species